CCGGAGGUGGUGGUGGGGGAGGAAGAAAAAGAAAAGGGGAAGGGAAUUUUUUUUUGUUGUGUUUUGGAUAUUUUAAGUGUAUAGGUUAAAAACUUUGAUAAGUUUUGGGAGUUCCUGUAGCACAAGUUAUUAAAAAACUUGGUAAAAAACAGGCCUUCUAAACAGGCCCUAAAUACUGCAAUAGUUCGGUGUUGCAACUAUAAGCACCCCUGCAAGAGUGACAUUAAAUUGAACUGUUCAAAUUAUUGGUUGAAGAACGAAAGAGAAUGUCGGAAAUUGUGACUCAGAACAAGGCUUUGUAGACUGCCUAUCUAAUGAACAUCUAUUGCUGCGUGAUCCAA
rnacentral:lncRNA from 1 species